rnacentral:snRNA from 1 species
CUGCUCGCUUCUGCAGCAUGUACACUAAAACUGCAACCAUACAGAGAUUAGCGCGGGCCCUGCGCAAGAACACGCACAUUCGUGAAGCGUUCCAGAUUAAG